rnacentral:rRNA from 1 species
CCUACGGGUGGCAGCAGUGGGGAAUAUUGCACAAUGGGGGGAACCCUGAUGCAGCGACGCCGCGUGGGUGAGGAAGUACUUCGGUAUGUAAAGCUCUAUCAGCAGGGAAGAAAAUGACUGUACCUGUCUAAGAAGCUCUGGCUAACUACGUUCCAGCAGCCGCGGUAAUACGCAGGGGGCAAGCGUUAUCCGGAUUUACUGGGUGUAAAGGGAGCGUAGACGGCGUGCCAAGUCCGAUGUGAAAGGCUGGGGCUCAACCGCGGGACUGCAUUGGAAACUGGCAGGCUGGAGUACCGGAGGGGCGAGCGGAAUGCGUAGUGUAGCGGUGAAAUGCGUAGAUAUUAGGAAGAACGCCGGUGGCGAAGGCAGCUUGCUGGACGGUAACUGACAUUGAGGCUCGAAAGCGUGGGGAGCAAACAGGAUUAGAUACCCGAGUAGUC